AUUGAACGCUGGCGGCAUGCUUUACACAUGCAAGUCGAACGGUAACAGGCCCUCGGGUGCUGACGAGUGGCGAACGGGUGAGUAAUGCAUCGGAACGUACCCAGAGGUGGGGGAUAACGCAGCGAAAGCUGUGCUAAUACCGCAUGUGAUCUGAGGAUGAAAGCGGGGGACCGAGCAGCAAUGCUUGGCCUCGCGCCUUUGGAGCGGCCGAUGUCGGAUUAGCUAGUUGGUGGGGUAAAGGCCUACCAAGGCGACGAUCCGUAGCUGGUCUGAGAGGACGACCAGCCACACUGGGACUGAGACACGGCCCAGACUCCUACGGGAGGCAGCAGUGGGGAAUUUUGGACAAAGGGCGCAAGCCUGAUCCAGCAAUGCCGCGUGCGGGAAGAAGGCCUUCGGGUUGUAAACCGCUUUUGGCAGGAACGAAACGGUGUCCGCUAAUACCGGGCGCUAAUGACGGUACCUGCAGAAUAAGCACCGGCUAACUACGUG
rnacentral:rRNA from 1 species